GAUGAAGAACGCAGCGAAAUGCGAUAAGUAGUGUGAAUUGCAGAAUUCAGUGAAUCAUCGAAUCUUUGAACGCACAUUGCGCCCUUUGGUAUUCCGAAGGGCAUGCCUGUUCGAGCGUCAUUUCACCACUCAAGCCUGGCUUGGUAUUGGGCGCCGCGGUCGAUCCGCGCGCCUCAAAGUCUCCGGCUGAGCUGUCCGUCUCUAAGCGUUGUGAUUUCAUUAAUCGCUUCGGAGUGCGGGCGGCCGCGGCCGUUAAAUCUUUCACAAGGUUGACCUCGGAUCAGGUAGGGAUACCCGCUGAACUUAAGCAUAUCAAUAAGCGGAGGA
rnacentral:misc_RNA from 1 species